rnacentral:tRNA from 1 species
UAGUGUAAAUGGUUAACACAGUUGGCUGCUAACCAGAAGGUUGGUGGUUCGAGUCCACC